UACGUAGGGGGCUAGCGUUGUCCGGAAUCAUUGGGCGUAAAGAGCGCGUAGGCGGCCAGAUAAGUCCGGUGUGAAAGUCACAGGCUCAACCUGUGAAUGCCGCUGGAAACUGUCUGGCUAGAGUCCGGGAGGGGCGAGUGGAAUUCCUGGUGUAGUGGUGAAAUGCGUAGAUAUCGGGAGGAACACCAGUGGCGAAGGCGACUUUCUGGCCUGUUCUUGACGCUGAGGCGCGAAAGCUAGGGGAGCAAACGGG
rnacentral:rRNA from 1 species